rnacentral:rRNA from 1 species
CCUGAAUCAGCAUGUGUGUUAGUGGAAGCGUCUGGAAAGGCGCGCGAUACAGGGUGACAGCCCCGUACACAAAAGCGCAUGUGUUGUGAGCUCGAUGAGUAGGGCGGGACACGUGGUAUCCUGUCUGAAUAUGGGGGGACCAUCCUCCAAGGCUAAAUACUCCUGACUGACCGAUAGUGAACCAGUACCGUGAGGGAAAGGCGAAAAGAACCCCGGCGAGGGGAGUGAAAAAGAACCUGAAACCGUGUACGUACAAGCAGUGGGAGCACAGGUUUACCUGUGUGACUGCGUACCUUUUGUAUAAUGGGUCAGCGACUUAUAUUCUGUAGCAAGGUUAACCGUAUAGGGGAGCCGGAGGGAAACCGAGUCUUAAUUGGGCGUUAAGUUGCAGGGUAUAGACCCGAAACCCGGUGAUCUAGCCAUGGGCAGGUUGAAGGUUGGGUAACACUAACUGGAGGACCGAACCGACUAAUGUUGAAAAAUUAGCGGAUGACCUGUGGCUGGGGGUGAAAGGCCAAUCAAACCGGGAGAUAGCUGGUUCUCCCCGAAAGCUAUUUAGGUAGCGCCUCGUGAAUUCAUCUCCGGGGGUAGAGCACUGUUUCGGCUAGGGGGCCAUCCCGGCUUACCAACCCGAUGCAAACUGCGAAUACCGGAGAAUGUUAUCACGGGAGACACACGGCGGGUGCUAACGUCCGUCGUGAAGAGGGAAACAACCCAGACCGCCAGCUAAGGUCCCAAAGUCAUGGUUAAGUGGGAAACGAUGUGGGAAGGCCCAGACAGCCAGGAUGUUGGCUUAGAAGCAGCCAUCAUUUAAAGAAAGCGUAAUAGCUCACUGGUCGAGUCGGCCUGCGCGGAAGAUGUAACGGGGCUAAACCAUGCACCGAAGCUGCGGCAGC